rnacentral:rRNA from 1 species
GUAGUAGCAAAUAUUCAAAUGAGAACUUUGAAGACCGAAGUGGAGAAGGGUUCCAUGUGAACAGCAGUUGGACAUGGGUUAGUCGAUCCUAAGAGACAGGGAUGUUCCGCACACGUAGGCUUUGCCUCGUCUCUCGAAAGGGAAUGGGGUUAAUAUUCCCCAACCAGGACGUGGAUACUGUACGGUAACGUAAGAGAAUUCGGUGACGCAGGGGGGAGCCUUGGGAAGCGUUGUCUUUUCUUUUUAACCGUCUUUUACCCUGAAAUCAGAUUACCUGGAGAUAGGGUUAAUUGGCGGGUAAAGCACCUUGUCUUCCGAGGUGUCCGGUGCGCUCUCAACUGCCCUUGAAAAACCGAAGGAUAGACUUAUUCACACCCCUGGUCGUACCCAUAACCGCAUCAGGUCUCCAAGGUUAGCAGCCUCUAGUCGAUAGAAGAAUGUAGAUAAGGGAAGUCGGCAAAAUAGAUCCGUA